rnacentral:rRNA from 1 species
CCUACGGGAGGCAGCAGUGAGGAAUAUUGGUCAAUGGACGAGAGUCUGAACCAGCCAAGUAGCGUGAAGGAUGACUGCCCUAUGGGUUGUAAACUUCUUUUAUAUGGGAAUAAAAUGUUCCACGUGUGGGAUUUUGUAUGUACCAUAUGAAUAAGGAUCGGCUAACUCCGUGCCAGCAGCCGCGGUAAUACGGAGGACCCGAGCGUUAUCCGGAUUUAUUGGGUUUAAAGGGAGCGUAGGUGGAUUGUUAAGUCAGUUGUGAAAGUUUGCGGCUCAACCGUAAAAUUGCAGUUGAAACUGGCAGUCUUGAGUACAGUAGAGGUGGGCGGAAUUCGUGGUGUAGCGGUGAAAUGCUUAGAUAUCACGAAGAACUCCGAUUGCGAAGGCAGUUCACUGGACUGCAACUGACACUGAGGCUCGAAAGUGUGGGUAUCAAACAGGAUUAGAUACCCCAGUAGUC